rnacentral:rRNA from 1 species
AGGGAAUCUUCCACAAUGGACGCAAGUCUGAUGGAGCAACGCCGCGUGAGUGAAGAAGGCUUUCGGGUCGUAAAACUCUGUUGUUGGAGAAGAAUGGUCGGCAGAGUAACUGUUGUCGGCGUGACGGUAUCCAACCAGAAAGCCACGGCUAACUACGUGCCAGCAGCCGCGGUAAUACGUAGGUGGCAAGCGUUAUCCGGAUUUAUUGGGCGUAAAGCGAGCGCAGGCGGUUUUUUAAGUCUGAUGUGAAAGCCCUCGGCUUAACCGAGGAAGUGCAUCGGAAACUGGGAAACUUGAGUGCAGAAGAGGACAGUGGAACUCCAUGUGUAGCGGUGAAAUGCGUAGAUAUAUGGAAGAACACCAGUGGCGAAGGCGGCUGUCUGGUCUGUAACUGACGCUGAGGCUCGAAAGCAUGGGUAGCGAACAGGAUUAGAUACCCUGGUAGUCCAUGCCGUAAACGAUGAAUGCUAGGUGUUGGAGGGUUUCCGCCCUUCAGUGCCGCAGCUAACGCAUUAAGCAUUCCGCCUGGGGAGUACGACCGCAAGGUUGAAAC